ACUGUCCUGCUGGUCUUGGCAGGCCCUGUGGUCUGAUCCCGGAGCUCGACCUCCAGCAGUCUGCUCUGGAGGGGUGCAGGACUCCAGCGGACCCGGAAGAGGUCCGAAAGAAGGGGAUAUCAUGUGAGCAGGGGUGUGGAAGAGGUGCUUCCACAGGAGACCUGGGUGCUCCUGGGGUGGGGCAGUGGUUUCUGGGCACCUCCCCUCCUCACCGUCUUAGCUCCCUGCUCCAGCCCCCAGAGGUGUUGAGUCAGCUGCCCGCCCCAUCCUCUAGCAGCUCUGUGGCCUGCCAUGUUGACUUUGCUGACUGGGAAUGCCUCCAUCUGUUGGCCUCCCCCACCCACAGUGGCCUCUGACCUUUGUAGAGAGCCCUUCCACCCCUCCAGGGUUUUAAUGUGCAUCUUGUGGAUGGAAAGGGUGGGUCCAGGAGGAGCAGUGCCUGGUGAAGGUGGAGGCUGGCUUGGACCUCCCACCUGCUGCCCUCCACAGGGCCACUAAAGCUAGCCAGGUCUCGGUGGAGGCCUGCUACCUGCCCCCUUCCCUGCCACACUGUACCAGCUGCCCUCACAGCAGGACCUGGCUAGCAAACACUUAAUGAAGUAGGCAGUAGUCCAGCCAUCGAUGGAGGUGCCCACAGGCUGGACGCUGGCUGGGAACCAGGACACCUAUGCAUGAGGCCAGGAAUUGGGGGGUAGGGUGGUUGCCAGCAGAACAGAUUGAUGGAGGCUCUGCCCCUGGGCAGCCUGGCCCAUUGUGGACUGACCCGGGUACAAGUUGUGCCCUGAGCUUGCUGCUGGUGGAUUGUCAGUGGCCAGAGAGGAUCAGGGUGGAACAAUAGCUCUGACCCCUUGGGAGGAGGAAGUGAGGAGGAGCCAGAGGCCUAGUAACUCUGAGUAACCUACCUACCAGGAGGAACUGGUGGGAGAAACGAAAGUGGCUGGGAGGGGGAGAAGGGGUGAUGAGCCAAGGGACAGGAAUGAGGGUCAGAGAGGACAGUCCAUCUUGUGUCUUGGAGUACAGGAAGCUCUGGGGCCUUGGAGGAAGUUCUGAGGGAAGAGAUGGUGAGGGGUCCUGGUAGUAAGAACUCAAAGGUGUAGGGGACCUUGUCCUUCUGGGAGAAUCUGGAAGACGUCCUGGAAGGUGCAUUUCAGAGGGAAGAAGGAGAUCAGAGCAAUCUCAAGAUCUAAGGAGGCGGAGUCCACCGCCCAAAGUCAAGGACAAGGACCACUGAAGGGCAGAGACUUCUCACAGCUGGUGGCAGGUGGCGAGGCCUGUGGGCACUGGAGGCAGGGACCCUGUCUUAUUCAAUCAGCCACCUGCAGGCUCCCUCACGGGCCCCUCCAUGCCUCUGCCCUGGUACAACCCCUGGUGAUGGUGGCUGCGCCUGUCCCUGCCAGCAGGUGCUGGCCACAUGCCCCUGUGCAAUGGUGUCCCCAGGAAAUUGCCCCUUCCUGGCGCAUGGACUCUGCUUCUCCCUGGCAGUGGCACAGUACGGUGGGGAUCCUGCUGCAGUUCCUGGCGCACACGCACCUUCUCUCAACCCGCCCCCCGCAGCAAAGCACCUUGGAGAAGUCCGUGCCCAAGUGUCCACCACACCUAGGACCCGCCAAGGCCUCCGCACAUGGCCUUCCCGCCCGCCACCCCAUUUCCUGGGCCUCCCUCCCACUCAGGGUCUCUCUGGCACCUCAACCGCACCUGACAGUGACCCCCGAUGGCCAGGGCCGCAGCCCACGGUGACCCCAUAUUCACACACACUUCCCCAGCUGGGACUCUCACCCCCAGAGUGCCUCAGACACCCUGGACUGCAGUCUUUCUCGUCACACGAGAGAGAACACCCACAUAGACACCCUCAGGCCUGCUGGUGACCAUGCAUGGCGGUCAGCGUGGGGACGUGGCCCCCCGCCCGCCAUGUUUCUGCUUCACCUGGUGUCCCUGCUGCCCCUCGUCUACCUGGCAAGAGCCUCUACCUGCUUCAGCGACUCCACCCUGAGGUCCUUCAGCCUCUCACCAGAGGGACCGUGUACAGUGCUGAGGACGAACAUCGUAUGGCUAACCAGACAGCGACACCAGGGACACCGGGGACACCGGGCCGACGGGCGCCUCCCCCCCACGCCAGCCUCGUC